rnacentral:lncRNA from 1 species
AAGUGGUUCUGCCAUAUCCGGCAUGUGAUUUUGGAUUAUCUGUCAAGUGGUUCCGGUGAGUGGACCAGGUGGUUCCUGCGUGCUCGGCAGGUGAGUCAGGCAUGUCUGACACGUGGUUCUGGUCAGUCCGGGUGGUGUUUCCGGCGUGUGCGGCACGUGUUUCUGGCACGUCUGAGAGGUGUUUCUGGCAUGCCCAGCAGGUGAUUCUGGAGUGUCCACCAAGUGGUUCUGGCAUAGCUGGCAGGUGGUUGCAGCGUGUCCAGCACAUGUUUCAGGCACGUCUGAGAGGUGGUUCCAGCAUGCCCGGCAGUUGAUUCCGGAGUGUCCGCCAAGUGGCUCUGUCCUGGCUGGCAGGUGGUUCAGGCGUGUCCGGCUGGUGGUUCAGGCGUGUCUGGCAGGUGGUUCUGGUGCGUUCAGGAGGUGGUUCUGGCAUGUCCGGCAUGUGGUUCUGGCACGUCUGAGUCGUGGUUCCAGCAUGCCUGGAAGGUGUUUCCGAGUGUCGGCCAAGUGGUUCUGGCAUAGCCGGCAGGUGAUUUUGGAUUAUCCGGCAUGUGGUUCCGGCGAGACGAGCAGGUGGUUCCGGCGUGCUCGGCAGGUGAUUCAGGCAUGUCCGACACGUGGUUCCGGUCAGUCCUGGAGGCGUUUCCAGCGUCUGCAGCAUGUGUUUCUUGCACAUCAGAGAGGUGGUUCCGGCAUGCCCGGCAGGUGAUUCCUGAAUGUCCACCACGUGUUUCUGGCGUAGCCGGCAGGUGAUUUUCAUGUGUCCGGCAGGUGUUUCUGGCGAGUCGAGCAGGUGUUUCUAACGUGCUCGGCAGGUGGUUCUGGCAGGUCUGGCAUGUGGUUCUGGCACGUCUGAGACGUGGUUUCAGCAUGCGCGGAAUGUGAUUCCAGAGUGUCGGCUAAGUGGUUCUGGCGUAGCUGGCAGGUGAUUUCGGUGUGUCCAGCAGGUGGUUUCGGUCAGUCCGGGAGGUGGUUCUCAUGUGUCCGGCACGUGGUACUGCCACGUCUGAGAGGUGGUUCCGGCAUGCCCGGCAGGUGAUUCUUGAGUGUCCGCCAAGUGGUUCUUGCAUAGCCUGCUGGUGAUUUUGGCGGGACCGGCAGGUGGUUCCGGAGAGUUGAGCAGCUGGUUCCAGCGUGCUUGGAGGUGGUCAGGCGUGUCCUGCUAGUGGCUCCGGUCUGUCCAGGAGGUGGUUCUGGCAUGUCCAGCAUGUGGUUCUGGCACGUCUGAGAUGUGGUUCCAGCAUGCCCAGCAGGUGAUUCCGGAGAGUCCGCCAAGUGCAUCUGCUGUAGCCGGCAGGUGAUUUUGGCAUGUCCAGCAGGUGGUUCCGGCGAGUCGAGCAGGUGGUUCCGGCAUGCUCGCCAGCUGGUUCCAGCGUGUCCGGAAUGUGGUUUUGGCACGUCUGAGAGGUGGUUCUGGCAUGCCUGGCAUGUCUUUCCACACUGUCUGCCACGUGGUUCUGGCAUAGCCAGCAGGCGAUUUUGAUGUGUCCGGCAGGUGGUUCUGGUCUGUCUGGGAGGUGGUUCUGGCGUGUCCGGAACGUGUUUCAGGCAAGUUCGAGAGGUGGUUCUGUCAUGCUCAGCAAGUGGUUCAGGCGUUUCGUGCAGGCGGUUCCGUUCUGUCCUGUAGGUGGUUUCAGUGUGUCCUGCACAUGGAUCUGGCACGUCUGAGAGGUGGUUCCGGCAUGCCCGGCAGGUGAUCCCGGACUGUCCCCCAGAGGGUUUUGGCGUAGCCGGCAGGUGACUUUGGCGUGUCCAGCAGGUGGUUCUGGUGAGUCGAGCAGGUCAUUUCAGCGUGCUGGGCUUGUGGUUCAGGCGUGUCCGGCAGGUUGUUCCGGUAUGUCCGGGUGGUGGUUCCGGCGUGCUCGGCAGGUGGUUCGGGCGGGUCCGGCAGGUGGUUCAGGUCUGUCCGGGAUGUGUUUCUGGCGUCUCAGGAACAUGGUUCUGGCACACCUGAGAGGUGGUUCCGGCAUGCCCAACAGGUGAUUCCGGACUGUCCUGAACGUGGUUCUGGCAUAGCUGGCAUUUGAUUUUGACGUGUCUGUCAGGUGGUUCUGGCGAGUCAAGCAGGUGGCUCCGGCAUGCUCGGCAGGUGGAUCUGGCGUGUCCAUGAGGUGGUUCCAGUCUGUCUGGUACGUAGUUCUGGCCUGCUCGGCAGGUGGUUCAGGAAGGUCCCGCAGGUGGUUCCAGUCUGUCCUGUAAGUGCUUUGGCGUGUCCUGCACAUGGUUCUGGCACGUCUGAGAGGUGGUUCCAGCAUGCCCGGAAUGUGAUCCGGGACUGCCCCCACGUGGUUCUGGCAUAGCCAGCAGGUGAUUUUGGCGUGUCUGGCAGGUGGUUCUGGCGAGUCGAGCAGGUGGUUCCUGCGUGUCCGGCACGUGGUUCUGGCACGUCUGAGAGGUUGUGCCGGCAUGCCUGGCACGUGAUUCCGUCUUGUCCGCCUAGUUGUUCUGGAGUAGCUGGCAGGUGAUUUUGGCGUGUCCAGCAGGUGGGUCCUGCGAGUCAAGCAGGUGGUUCUGGCAUGCUCGGCAGGUGAUUCAGGCGUGUUCGGCAGGUGGCUCCAGUCUGUCCAGGACGUGGUUGCAGCGUGUCUGGCACGUGGUUCUAUUACAUCUGAGAGGUGUUUCCAUCAUGUUCGGCAGGUGCUUCCGGCGUCUCCGGCAUGUGCUUCUGGCACUUUUGAGAGGUGGUUCUGGCAUGCCUGGCAGGUGAUUCCGGAGUGUCCGACAAGUGGUUCUGGCGUAUCCGGCUGGUGAUUUUGCCGUGUCCGGUAGGUGGUUCCGGGGAGUCGAGUGGUUGUUCUGACGUGCUAGGCAGGUGGUUCCGGCUGGUCCAGCAGGUGGUUCCGGUCUGUCCGGGAGGUGGUUCUGGCAUGUCCAGCACAUGGUUCUGGCACGUCUGAGAGGUGGUUCCGGCAUGCCCGGCAGGUGAUCCCGAAGAGUCCUCCAAGUGGUUCUUGCAUAGCCGGGCAGUGAUUUUGGCGUGUCCGGCAGGUAGGUCUGGUGAGUCAAGCAGGUGAUUCCGGC